rnacentral:rRNA from 1 species
ACUCCUACGGGAGGCAGCAGUGAGGAAUAUUGGUCAAUGGAGGGAACUCUGAACCAGCCAUCCCGCGUGUAGGAAGACGGCCUUAUGGGUUGUAAACUACUUUUAUACAGGAAGAAACGUACCCUCGUUGAGGGUGCCUGACGGUACUGUAGGAAUAAGCACCGGCUAACUCCGUGCCAGCAGCCGCGGUAAUACGGAGGGUGCGAGCGUUAUCCGGAUUUAUUGGGUUUAAAGGGUCCGUAGGCGGAUUAAUAAGUCAGUGGUGAAAUCCCAUCGCUUAACGAUGGAACUGCCAUUGAUACUGUUAGUCUUGAAUGAGGGUGCAGUGGUUGGAAUGUGUAGUGUAGCGGUGAAAUGCAUAGAUAUUACACAGAACACCGAUUGCGAAGGCAGAUCACUAACCCUAAAUUGACGCUGAGGGACGAAAGCGUGGGGAGCGAACAGGAUUAGAUACCCU